UGUCUCCUCCAUCUCCUCAAAGGAUGGAUUGAGCCCCGGACCGCAAGGUCCGGGGCUCUUUUU
rnacentral:ncRNA from 21 species